UAACUGUAUCAGAAGAUGAAGCUAAAGCCACUCUGACAGCAGACGGUUCAAUCAUACCAGCAGGGGGCAGUGUGACUCUGACCUGUUCUCUGAAGAUUCCUGCAGGAUUCACUUAUAAUCUGUACAGAAAUAAUCACAUCAAACAAUCUGAUAAACCAGGAGGAGUUUUCAAGAUCUCAGAGGGAGGCAAAUACACCUGCAGAGGAUUUAGAAGAGACACAAACUUUAUUACAUCUUUCAGUAACACAGUCUUUAUUCAGCAAACUGCAGAUAAACCCCGGCCUGUCCUCUCUGUGUCUCCAUCAUGGCUGAGUCCU